UUAGAGAGCCAUAUCAUCCUGCAGUUCUUGCCUGGUUUCUUACUGAAGCUAAGCAGGGUUGAUACCUGGAUGGGAGACCUCCUGGGGAAAACUAAGGUUGCUGAU
rnacentral:rRNA from 1 species